rnacentral:rRNA from 1 species
UACGAAGGGGGCUAGCGUUGCUCGGAAUUACUGGGCGUAAAGCACGCGUAGGCGGUCUUUUAAGUCGGGGGUGAAAUCCUGGAGCUCAACUCCAGAACUGCCUUCGAUACUGGAAGACUUGAGUCCGGGAGAGGUGAGUGGAACUGCGAGUGUAGAGGUGAAAUUCGUAGAUAUUCGCAAGAACACCAGUGGCGAAGGCGGCUCACUGGCCCGGUACUGACGCUGAGGUGCGAAAGCGUGGGGAGCAAACAGG